rnacentral:rRNA from 1 species
GGAAUCUUCCACAAUGGGCGAAAGCCUGAUGGAGCAACGCCGCGUGUGUGAUGAAGGGUUUCGGCACGUAAAACACUGUUGUAAGAGAAGAAUGACAUUGAGAGUAACUGCUCAAUGUGUGACGGUAUCUUACCAGAAAGGAACGGCUAAAUACGUGCCAG